GUUGAAGAAAACAGGAUAUUUUGUGGAGCACUGGCAAAUUGAAACAAACCAGACAAGGAGCAGGUACAUCAGAGCAUUCAGGAUGGAUUUUCCAACAGGAGAACAUCCCUGACAGCAGCAUGACUGUUACUGAAACAGAUCACUCCACCCUGAGUGACAGACUCUCCUCCCCUCCAUUCAGACACAAAGACUGACCUUAAACGACCUCCUACACACUCUUGUGAGGCCCAGGCUUGCCCAGACACGCUGAUGGCAUUUAAUCCACUUCU